AGAGAUGAGGGUGACAUCAAUCACCCCAUCAAUCACCUGGGUUGAUGCAGCUGAUCUAGCUGGCUUGGCAGAUGUCACUUUCCUCCAUCAUUCCAUGUACAUCCCCCCGAAGGCUUCACACUAGGUGGAAGAGCACAAACUUCCCGAGAGAGUAGAGCCAUUUUUUUGACUUGUGAUAUACAAGUAGCCGCGUUCCCCUGCUGAAACCUCUAAGUGCUCAAGUAUAAAUGAACCUGGACAGCACAACGUACCAAUGACAUGGUGAACUACUGGGGAAUGUUAACCUGUGU
rnacentral:snRNA from 1 species